AAAAAGAUAAGCUAAGUAAGCUAUUGGGCCCAUAACCCAAUUAUGAUUUAUAUCUCUUUUUA
rnacentral:tRNA from 1 species